GACAAAUUUCUUCAUUGCAUCCAAAUAUUUAGAUCCUUCUGGAAGUGUAUCGGAGACCUGGGAGAGUAAAAUGUUUAGUUACGUACUAAUUUCGGGGCGGUGACACGUCGAAAUUGCAAAUUUUUUCAACUGCGAAAUACGAGAAGGAAAUAAAAAUUGCGUUACGUCGGAAAUCACCUUAAGAUGAUUCAGAUGGUCACCGCAAAACGCCUUUUUUUUGGGAGGGGUCACUGGAGAUCUGCUGUAGCAGCUUCAAAAACUCUUAUUUUUACAAAUAAAACAUUGCUAACUACUCUUCAAAGGUGUAAUAUGAGUACAAAUGCUCAAAAUAAAAAAACUUUUAAUUAAAGUAAAAAAAGAACAAUGAAAAUUCAAAGGGAAAAAAAUAAUUCUAAUAAAAUUUGCGGUAAGGGAAAAAUUGUAACGAACAAACACUAUAAUUUUAACAUUUUUAUAUACGAUUUUUGAUUUCCGAACUUACUUUUUCACCAAGUUAUAAAUGAUAUAAAUGCCUGUGCUGAGUAAACUGCUUGUUUAUUUUUUAGCUUACAUAUACUAUGAAAUAAAAUUUAGUCUUACUUAAGGCUAGUAUUUGAGGUAAAGUUACUUUUAUAAGUUUCACACAUUUUCUAUUCGACAGGCUACCAAAUGCAAAUACAUCUCAAUUAACAAUAUAUUUAUGUACAUACUUUGUAUGUUGAUAUUUAUAAAGAAAUGCAACUGUUUGUAUUUACCAUUGUUUAUUGAAAAUUUUUCGUUAUUGAAAUAAUUUACACACAUACAUAUGUAUUAUUCUUUGUUUAUUUAACACUUUAUUUGAAUAUAUAAAAAGCGACAUUUAUAUAGAAACAAUUAUAUUAGAUAAGAAAAUUAUUGUACUUUUAUCCCGCACGUAUGUAUAUAACACAUGUACAAGUAUCUGGUUAACCAAAACAUAUUGACACAAUUUGCACUAACGAAAUACGAAUGUAAACACAAUUUCAAGAAUGUCAAGCAAGAAAUUUGUUUACACACAAAUAGCGAGACCCGUCAAUGGAAUUUUGCAUGUUCACUUCACUGUUAACCGACUGAGACUGAUUCGCAGGACCGCUAACAGCACAACAAAACUGUAUUGUAUAUCCUUUUACACGAACUACUAACAGCAUCGUGCGAACAGUGUUGUCUCUUAAGCAAGGCGGACAGUAAAAUAUUAUUA